AAGUAUCACCAAGAAAUAUAUAGGCUCCUACAAAAUUGAUGAUAUGGUGAAGGUGGAAGGCUCCUGGGGUUGGUCUUGCUGCUCCACAGAUUGGAGUUCCCUUAAGGAUAAUAGUCUUGGAAGAUAUAAAGGAAUAUAUUAGUUAUGCACCCAAGGAUGAGAUUAAAGUUCAAGAGAGACGGCCUUUCGAUCUUUUGGUGAUUAUUAACCCAAAGCUUCAAAAGAAGAGCAACAGGACC